ACUUUACAUCCUCCAAUUUCUCCAAGUUAUUUUACUCUCUCAAAAUGCUUGAUGUGUCAUUCUUUUAUUAAUGUUGGUUUACCUGUUUCAUAUUAACAGAAGGCUUAUGGUUUCCUGUAGGUUUAAGAAAACAUGAUGCCUUCUCUUCCCCACUAGAAAUGCUUUCCCAGGUAAAAAACAUCUAUAUAUUCUUUUUUGUUUAACGUGUUUGUAUGAUUAAGGAGGGGUUUGUUCCGUUUCAGUUUCAUUAUCCUCAUUUCAUUCAAACUUUGGUUUGACCCCUUCUAAAAAAUCUCUCUAAUUAUCUGGAGCCAUUUCAAAUUUCAUCAUUAUCCUCAUAAAUCUUCUUCCCCCAUCUGUGGUUCUAUUUCUAAAAACAGGGACCGAUGAUCUUCACCAUUCUAUGUUGUAGUGUCGAGAAGAAAUUUUGAGCCUGGUGGAUCGUUGAUGUAAUGUUUGAAUUCUAUUUUAAUAUGUUUUUUCCAGUUUUCGCUAAUUUUGAUAAGCCUUUUAAUGUAAGGUUUGCAUUCUCUGUUACAUGGUUUAGCUUGAAUAUUAAUAUCUUAUUUAUAUAUCUACAUGGGAAGAGGAGUAGUAGAUUUACAAGCUGCAGGCUAUGUAUGUUUUUAGUGUUAAAAGUUGAAUUCAUGAGGCACAUCAUGCACACCAUGUGUUUGAUAAGAAUUCCCAAUCAGUAUUUAAUUGUCAAUAUAAAUUAUAAACCUAUUUUUUAUGUUUUUUUGAUGCAGAUAUGUUAUAGGGAACUACAUUGCUGAGAAAUCAGCAGCACUCAUUAAAAUCCCACACUUGAUUUAUUUGGCUUAAGUUAACAACCAUUAUUUUCAUCUAUUACUAUUUACUACCAUACUUUACUAGAUAUACUUUAGUAGAUGGAGAAAUCACAUAAGUUUCAUUUUACGAAUCAAAAAAAGAUAUGGAAAAAAAGAAGAAAUGAAGGGUCUAUUAAGGUUGCUUGUAUGUUUUGGUGUAGAAAUAUGAAUAAAUGGCAAAUUGGUCUCUUUUUGGUUUAUGUUGCAAGUUAUAUGUCUAUUCAAGGUUUUAUUGUUUUAGGUUGAUUUCGUUGUUCGAAUUAGUCAAAGUAAGAGAAUUGAAUUGUAAUGUCGUCUUUUUUAUUACAAAUUCAACAAGGAAAGAACUAUGUCGAGUGAGAA
rnacentral:lncRNA from 1 species